AGAUUGAUGAUGGCACCCCCAUAAAACCAUUCCUUAGGAAAUCUGAACAAAAUGAGUGAAAACUCACUAGUUGUUUCAUCGAGGCUGGGCCC
rnacentral:snoRNA from 10 species